GGGCUGAGGAGACCGAGAAUAUACAACCGGAAAGCUCAACUCGUUGAGUUAUGUUUGGGGGGAUCUUUAUGAGCUAGGAGCCAGACUAACCGCACAGGAUAUCUUUUUGGACAACGGGGAUCAGUGCGGAGGAUCUUUUUGCUGUAGGGCCCACUCCUAGUAUAAGUAGUAAGUUCUUGUAGAAUGUUAUGAUUAAGUUACGACCUGAAACUUUUGUUUAGUUGGGUUAGUGAUAUGGUUGUGGAAAGUACUCUCUUGAGAGUUAUAUAUAUAUAUAUCAGAACCGGCUGAAUUGGUUAUAUACUUUUGGUAUAGCUUGCUGAAUUGGUUAACUGUUUGGGAGGUGGAAAACAUGUUAUGAAUAAAUUGUUUAUGUGA